rnacentral:rRNA from 1 species
UACAGAGGUGGCAAGCGUUGUCCGGAUUUACUGGGCGUACAGCGCGCGCAGGCGGCUACGUAUGUGACCGGUGACAUCCUCGGGCUCAACCCGAGGCGGCCCGGUUAGACAGCGUGGCUGGAGGCAGGGAGAGGGAUGUGGAAUACCCGGUGGGGCGGUGAAAUGCGUAGAGAUCGGGUGGAACACCAGCGGCGAAGGCGGCAUCCUGGCCCUGUACUGACGCUGAGGCGCGAUAGCGUGGGGAGCAAACGGG